CCAACUCCAGCGCCGCGGGCCUCCGCGCUUCCGCGGCCACGGCGGAGGGGGAGGCGCCCGAGGGCUCCGGUCCCGCGACGGCCUGUCGGGAGCAGAACCUAGGGGCUGCGGGCCUACCCAGAGGGACAGGAUGACCAAGCCAGUGCCGAGGUCAGGGUGACACAAGUGGGUAAAACCCACCAGGACUUCACCUUUUGGGGCGUCUGUAUCCUCAUCUACAAAAAUGGUACUGGCAGACACCCUAUGCAAUUGUUGGGACUCAUUCAAUGUCAAGUGCUUACAACGGGGGCUGGCGCAGAGGAAGCCCACAGAUCUCCUCUUUCAGACCCUGAGAGCACCAUGAAAGGAGGUAACACCCGUGUCCCCAGAACUGUUAAAUACCUGACACAGAACCAGCCCACUGUAUUUGUUACAUGUUUACUAAUGUCCAGAAACGUCUG
rnacentral:lncRNA from 10 species